UCCAGCACCAGAUGAAUUUGAAGUGAGAGAUGAUGGAAACAUCAGGCUGACACAACCUCUGAACUACGACAGUGCUCAACAAUACAUCUUCACCGUGCAAGCUAAAGAUAAAGAUGAAUUCAGUGACACCACAACAGUUACAAUAACAGUUGAAGAUUUCGACAAUCUAAACCCUUAUUUUGAUCACAGUCUCUAUAAGGCAUCCAUUGUGGAAAAUCAGGUAGGACAGUUUUCAGACAUCACUCCUGAGGCCAUAAAAGCUCAAGAUGGCGACACGGGCAUCAACGAGCCUGUAGUUUACAGCAUAACAGCAGUCUUUCCAAAUGAAUAUCAGAGCAACUUUGUAAUCGAUGAAAACAGUGGAGUAAUCUCUGUGACAACAGCACUAGACAGAGAGGAAAUAGACCAGAUAAAUGUUAACAUACAGGCAACUCAGCAGGAUGAUGCCAGUAAGACGGCUAACGCUGUUGUGUCCGUCACCAUUGAGGAUGUGGAUGACAGCCCUCCGAAAUUUGACCAGGAUGAGUACACCGUAUCUAUUCUGGAAAAUUCACCUCAGGAUCAGUUGGUUCUUCAGACUAG